rnacentral:other from 1 species
UGAGCCCUGUGUUUCAAUUGCAGGUCUAAGUAUAGGACCAACACCUACACAACAAGGGAGCCGAGCUCUGGGCGAUGAAUGUAUGCCCCAUCAUUUAAGGGGAAACAUGAUCCGCUCAGGAGGUGCCCAUCAUGUUAGACUAGGAUCCUAGAAUUAGACCGCUGGAAUGCAGGGCUUUU